rnacentral:rRNA from 1 species
GACGAACGCUGGCGGCGUGCUUAACACAUGCAAGUCGAACGGAAAGGCCCUGCUUUUGUGGGGUGCUCGAGUGGCGAACGGGUGAGUAACACGUGAGUAACCUGCCCUUGACUUUGGGAUAACUUCAGGAAACUGGGGCUAAUACCGGAUAGGAGCUCCUGCUGCAUGGUGGGGGUUGGAAAGUUUCGGCGGUUGGGGAUGGACUCGCGGCUUAUCAGCUUGUUGGUGGGGUAGUGGCUUACCAAGGCUUUGACGGGUAGCCGGCCUGAGAGGGUGACCGGCCACAUUGGGACUGAGAUACGGCCCAGACUCCUACGGGAGGCAGCAGUGGGGAAUAGUGCACAAUGGGCGGAAGCCUGAUGCAGCAACGCCGCGUGCGGUAUGACGGCCUUCGGGUUGUAAACCGCUUUCGCCUGUGACGAAGCGUGAGUGACGGUAAUGGGUAAAGAAGCACCGGCUAACUACGUG